CAAGGCUAACUUUUAACGUUUUUAAUGCAGUUGUACCUUUGAAGAAGUUUUGUGUACUGUCCAAAUGUUUGUCCCUUUUAAUUUAUAUAAUUUCACUUCAUGGCAACAAGACUUGAAGUAUUGUCACAAUGUAAGGCCUAGCGUUCACGGGUUACUUUAAUCACAAUGACUGUUUCCUCACUCAUAACAAAUCUGUGGGAAUCUAUGGAGAUGCAUCCAUGUUACGAGGUCACAAUUGGGUGACAUGUACGCCAAGCGGUGAAUAAGCCCAUGACAAAACUGUCACUGUCGCCUUCGGUUUUCGUAGCAGUGCGCGCACGAGUGAUAAAAUUGUCAUGCUUCAUCGUCGUUUGCAUUUGCCGUCCGAUUCUCGACUUUGGUGCACGCGAUAUAGCAACAUCAUUUACAUAAAAAAUGAAUAUCCGAGAAGACGAUAUUGAUUGAUGACAUUAUUAUUGAGGAAGUGGAAAAGGAGACAAGCACUCUAUUAUAAAAAAACUAAAAGACUACUCUGACAUUGCUUAAUUUGAAAAUUAAAACGUGGGAAGAGAUAAGUGAAAAAAUAUUUAGCAAUGUUUGGGUAAAUUAGUCGAAACAAGAAAACACUGAAGUGGGUAAAGUUCUACAAAGGUGGAUAUGCAUAAGCAGAGGACAUUGACUCAGAAAAAAAAUAAUGCUGAUGAAGAGAAACAACAGCGAGGCCAAUGUUUCAGAAAAAAAAUACGAAAACAAUAUCUUAACAAGAUAGGCUCUUCAUGUAGCUCAGCCGAAUUCAUCUCCACAAAACUUACCAUCUAAUAAAACCCGUUACUGUAUGAAGACUCCUCAGCCUCAAUUAUUCAAUCAUAUAUUUUAGAGUUUGCAGCAGGGAAUCUUUAUAGUACACAAUAAAGAUUUCCAAGGUUAUACAUUUGUCAGAAAUUCAGUAACAACUCGGGAAAUUAUUAAAUUAAUCCUUGCUUUUAAAUUUAAAAUAAUGUUGUAUUUUUAUUAAAAUAAAUAUCAUCUAAAA